UACGUAGGGUGCAAGCGUUGUCCGGAAUCAUUGGGCGUAAAGCGCGCGUAGGUGGCUUCGUAAGUCCGUUGUGAAAGUCAAAGGCUCAACCUUUGAAAGCCGAUGGAUACUGCGGAGCUAGAGUACGGAAGAGGCGAGUGGAAUUCCUGGUGUAGCGGUGGAAUGCGCAGAUAUCAGGAGGAACACCAGUGGCGAAGGCGGCUUCCUGGUCUGCAACUGACGCUGUGGCGCGAAAGCUAGGGGAGCAAACGGG
rnacentral:rRNA from 1 species